rnacentral:rRNA from 1 species
UACGUAGGUGGCGAGCGUUAUCCGGAUUUAUUGGGCGUAAAGAGGGCGCAGGCGGCUUUUCAAGUCGGAUGUAAAAUCUCCUGGCUUAACUGGGAGGGACCAUUCGAAACUGCUAAGCUAGAGGGCAGCAGAGGGAGGUAGAAUUCCCGGUGUAGUGGUGAAAUGCGUAGAUAUCGGGAGGAAUACCAGUGGCGAAGGCGGCCUCCUAGGCUGUUUCUGACGCUUAAGCCCGAAGGCGUGGGGAG